CUUAUACUGACCUAUAGAUGCUAUAAAGCUUUCAUAUAGCCUGCACAGUUUCUAACACAUGGGCAGUGGGCAGCCAUGCCGAGUCAUGAAGGUGGCAUGCAGGGAUGGGAAAUGCUGCCUUAGGAGGUCACAAUUAUUAUGUGCUUUUAUGCAAAGGACAGUGAACAACAGUUGGCAAACACAGAUCCUGAUCUCUCCGUGCAGCGCCACUAUCUGCUUGUUAGCGUGCGGUUAUCUGCUUGUCUGCUAACUUACGCAAGGCUCUCAACUUCCCUGAACAUUGGUUUCAUCUUUAAAGUGUGUGUCCGGAUGAUAUCCCUUCAGUUUUUAAUAUUCCAUGGUUGUUUUGCUUACCAUAUUGUCUCCACUAAUUUUUAAGCUCCCAAAGGCUGGAACUUUGUUUUGUAAAUCUUAAUACAUUUCAGGACCCUGUACAAGGUUUUACACACAGAAAGUAUUUAAUAAAGUUGGUUGGUUGGCUGCUGGGAAAUAAGCCCUGUGGUCACUCUGCUUUGG
rnacentral:lncRNA from 10 species